rnacentral:tRNA from 1 species
GCCGGCAUAGCUCAGUUGGCAGAGCGGCGGUUUCGUAAACCGCAGGUCAUCGGUUCGAGCCCGAUUGCCGGCU